AUGGUGACAGCCCCACGUGUGCUCACUAAGGCUCUCCAUGGUGGAGAUGUCCUUCUCUACCCAGGCCAUUGCUGCUCCCUAUCCAGGACUCCACAGAGCUAUGGAGCCUCCUAUCCACGGCUGGCCAAGCAACAGGAAGCAGCAGCACUGACCCACCGGACUACUGAGUGGGCACAGCCUGGCACGGGGCUUCGUGUCACCUUCACGACCCUACUGUAUGCUCCACGCCCCCGGCCUGCGUGCGCCAGGCUCUGUGACCGCAGCGUGUCCAGCUCCAGACGGAGACCCGAAGGUGGCUGCAAGGGACCAAGGUCAUCGGUCCCGAGUGGGGUGAGGGACAGGAGGAAGCCACGCUGCGAACCCGCAGCCCCACACCCGAGCUGCUCCACCGAGUUAUGUAAGCGGCAGAGCAUGUACCUGCAGCGGGAACAUGGCCGCCCGAUUGCCCACGUAGCCGCGGACUACAUGGCUCUGGAUGGAGAGCACCCGGCACUCGCCCUCCAUGCCGGGCAGAGCGUGGUGUUGGGGGGCCCUAGCUGCCCAGGCCGCUGGCUAGGGCUCAGCCAGUCCCUCUGCUGCGUCGAGGGGCGGGCUGAAAAACGUGUCAAGCGCAGGCCACGCCCCUCCGGGAAAGGGGCCGACAGAAAUGACCCGGACAGAUCCUCUGUGUUUUCGGCAGCACAAGGGCGCCCAGCUUCUCUGCAUACCCGGGUCAGCACUAGGCCAUCUCAUCUGGGAUACACUCCCCAUUGUGGUUCAUUCAUUCAUUCCUCACGGGUUCUUGGCCUUGGCACCCUCCAGGGUGACACUCCUAGGAGCCGCUGUCCAAGGAGCUCCCACCGAACUCCAGGGCUUUAUAGCCCUUAGAGAUUAAAAGGACCCCUCCAGCCACAAGGCCUGUGCACAGAAGCUGGAACACAGGCAGCUGGGAGCCCGGCUGUCUGAUCUGUCUGAGCCACACGUCCCUUCUCAAUGUCCCAGUUAUCUCCAGGCUCAAGUCCACCUUCUCAGAGCCACUCAUGGGGACUGGCUUGAUUCUGCUGCACUGGCUCUCCUCUUUUCAGCCCCCACCCAGCCCCCUCUCACAGUCCUGGGGAAAGUGAACUUCUUCCGCUUCCCAUCUCCAGAUCAGCAAUUUGGAACUCCAGUGGUCAUAGAUUCCAGGUUCACAGAUUGGUGGCAGAGGCCAGCAUGUCAAGUUUGCAGUAUCUUGGAGAGAGUCCUGGGGACCAGGUCAGCUCUAAAGAGAGGAGAAGGAUCCGAAUUGCUUAGGGAAGUAGGGAUUGAUGCUCAGUUGAAGUAGGUGCGAAGGCCCUAGCUUUAAUCCCAGCACCAGAAAAAGUGAACAGAAAGAGGAAUCACAUUGUAAGGAAUACUUGAUUGGAUUAAUUAAAUGGAGUACAUUGUGGAGUACAUUUUAGGAAUAAUUAAUUGCUUGAUGAUAAUAGCUUUUACUGCACACUUGGUAUGCCCUAGCAUAUUUCAUGUAACUCUCUGAAACUUGCCUAGAGUGAUGGUGCACACCUAUAAUCCCAGCAUUUGGGAGGAAGAGGCCGGAGGAUUAGGAGUUUAAGGUCAUCCUCGGCUACAUAGCAAACCAGGGGACAAUCUGGGCUACAAGAGACAUAAGACCUGGAAAGGAGUUGGGCGUUGGUGGUGAAUGCCUUUAAUCCCAGCACUCGGGAGGCAGAGGCAGGCAGAUCUCUGUGAGUUCGAGACCAGCCUGGUUUACAAGAGCUAGUUCCAGGACAGCCUCCACAAAGCCACCAGAAAAACCUGUCUUGAAAAACAAAAUAAAACAAAAUAGACUUGGAAAGGUGGGAGGGCACCAAAUCUUUGCAAAACCCAGUAAAGUCGUUUCAUGACCUUGUGUCUGUGGCCACUAAUGACCAAGAAAAGAGGCCAGAGCUUACAAAUCAUUGACAAGGAUUACUGGGUGAAAAGCAUCCACAGUGCCCGGAGCACCAACCACUGCCUUUGAGGUUGUCCCCUUGGCUCUUUCGGGUCUAAGGAAUCCUCACUGCAAAUGACCUCAUUCCCUCGGUACCUCAAUCUGUCACUUGUGCCUUUUCUUUUUCCUGGGCAAACUUCAGAAGCAGCCUCUUCCUCCAACUGCCUUCGCCCCUUUAGUCCAGGCAAACCAAAAGCAUAAAGAGAAAAAAGUGGUGAGGACUAGAGGGAUCCAACCACCAGGCCUGUACACUCCAGGACACUCCUCAACAGAGGACUCAGGUUCCCAGAAGCACAAACCCUGCUGUAAACACAGCUAGACUGGGAGUCGGGGGCCACUUUGCUCUCAGUUUCUUGGCUCCUAAGGGAUCGGAUCCCUAUUUCUUGAUCUAGGAUAGACCCCAAGAGUCCAGGGAUCUCAGCUGAGCCACACCUAAGGAGUCUGGGAUGGUUUGAAUGAGCACAGUUCCCAUAGCUGUGUAUAUUCAAAUGUGUGGCUCCCUGUUGGUGGACUGUUUGCAAGGACCAGGAGGUGUGGCCUUGUUGGAGGAGGUGUGUCACUGAGGGUGGGCUUUGAGGUGUCUAGUGUUUCUCUGCCUUCUACCUUGGGAUGAUGUCUUAGUUAGGGUUUUAUUGCUGUGAAGAGAUACCAUAACCAUAUCUUGGCACAAUGAAGGCAGAAGUGUGUCCUGGGUAUCACUUACAUGGCUGUUCCCUGGAUGGACAGAUUCCAGGGGUGGGAUGAGGGGGUUCUCAGUCAAGGAGGGCUUACAUAUCAGAGCUAAAACUGUGAACAUCAUGGAGGUCAGAGGACAGUUUGUGGGAACUGAUUCUCUCCUUCCCCCAGGUGGGUUCUGGGGAUUGAACUCAGGUCAUCAGGCUUAGUUGCAAGUGCCUUGACCCACUGAGCCACCCUCCUGGCCUUGUUUUGUGAGUUGGGAUCUCCUUAUGUAGCCAAUGCUGGUCUCCAAUGAAUGAUUCUCCUGCCUGAGCUUCAUGAGUGCUGGGAUUGUAGGCAUGUGCUAGCAUGAUCAACAAAGACAUUAAUAUUAUUAUUUUGAUUAUUGUGAUUUUGAGACAUAGAUUCACUAUGAAUCCCUGACUGGCUUGGAACUUCGUAGGUAGACCAGGCUGCUCUCAAAGUCACAGAGAUCUGCCUUCCUGCCUUUACCUCCUAAGUACUGGGAUUACAGGUGUGUAUACCUGGCAAAUACAUGAUUUUUUAUUUUUAUUUUUAUUUUUUUGGUUUUUCAAGACAGGGUUUCUCUGUGUAGCUUUGGAGCCUAUCCUGGCACUCGCUCUGGAGACCAGGCUGGCCUGGAACUCACAGAGAUCUGCCUGCCUCUGCCUCCCGAGUUCAGGGAUUAAAGGCAUGCACCACCAACGCCCGGCUACAAAUACACAAUUUUUAAUAAUGGGCUUUUAACCAUAUGUAAGUCACCAGCUCUUAGCCAAAUAGCAGUUCCUCUUCACAUGCUGGAUCUCUGGGCACCUUGAUCUUGGAUCUCCAGCCUUCAAGUAUGGUGAGAAUGAAAGCUGUUACAAACCACCCAGUUCACAGUUAUUGUUAUUUUUUUUUAUUAUUUUUAUUUUUAGGUUAAGUCUUUUUUGGGGGGAAAGGGGGUAUUGAGGCAGGGUUUCUCUGUGGCUUUGGAAGUUGUCCUGGAACUAGCUCUCAUAGACCAGGCUGGUCUCAAACUCACAGAGAUCCACCUGCCUCUGCCUCCCGAGUGCUGGGAUUAGGAUUAAAGGUUCGAGUCAUCCCCCCGCUUCCCCGUUUAGGUUAAGGCUUAAUUAGGAGUUCUAUUGCUAUGAUGAAAUACCAUGACAAAAAAAGCAAGUUGGGCAGGAAAGGGUUUAUUUGGCUUAUAUUUCCACAUCAUAUUUCAUCACUGAAGGAAGUCAGGGUAGGAACUCACACAGGGCAGGAAACUGGAGGCAAAGGCCAUGGAGGGGAGCUGCUUACUGACUUGCUUCCCAUGGCUUGCUCAACCUGCUUUCUUGUGAAAGACCCCUGCCCCUUAGCCCUUUCUUUCUCAAGUUUGCCUCCUCCUCCGGUCGGCGGCUUCCCCGAUCCCCACCCCGGCC
ensembl:lincRNA